rnacentral:rRNA from 1 species
UACGUAGGGUGCGAGCGUUAAUCGGAAUUACUGGGCGUAAAGCGUGCGCAGGCGGUGAUGUAAGACAGGUGUGAAAUCCCCGGGCUUAACCUGGGAACUGCAUUGUGACUGCAUCGCUGGAGUGCGGCAGAGGGGGAUGGAAUUCCGCGUGUAGCAGUGAAAUGCGUAGAUAUGCGGAGGAACACCGAUGGCGAAGGCAAUCCC